rnacentral:pre_miRNA from 1 species
ACUGGUUUCAUGUGGAAGCCAGUUGUAUUGUGGACACUAGCACCACGUGAAAUCAGCGU